CCUACGGGAGGCAGCAGUGAGGAAUAUUGGACAAUGGGCGCAAGCCUGAUCCAGCCAUGCCGCGUGCAGGAAGAAGCAUCUAUGGUGUGUAAACUGCUUUUGUACAGGAAGAAACACUCCCUCGUGAGGGAGCUUGACGGUACUGUAAGAAUAAGGACCGGCUAACUCCGUGCCAGCAGCCGCGGUAAUACGGAGGGUCCGAGCGUUAUCCGGAAUCAUUGGGUUUAAAGGGUCCGUAGGCGGUUUAAUAAGUCAGUGGUGAAAUCUGGUCGCUCAACGAUCAAACGGCCAUUGAUACUGUUAGACUUGAAUUAUAAGGAAGUAACUAGAAUAUGUAGUGUAGCGGUGAAAUGCUUAGAUAUUACAUGGAAUACCAAUUGCGAAGGCAGGUUACUACUUAUGGAUUGACGCUGAUGGACGAAAGCGUGGGGAGCGAACAGGAUUAGAUACCCUGGUAGUCCACGCCGUAAACGAUGGAUACUAGCUGUUCGGAGCAAUCUGAGUGGCUAAGCGAAAGUGAUAAGUAUCCCACCUGGGGAGUACGUUCGCAAGAANAGAANACAAAUAGAAGUUAGAGGCGNGAGAGUAGACGACGGACGACACGAGGGGAGGAGG
rnacentral:rRNA from 1 species